ensembl:processed_transcript
GGCGACUCCAAUCACUCGAAAACACCCCAGAUGAACCGACACGACACUCUUUUGACGCGUGGGCUUAAAAUCACCAGUAAAUAACAUCUGAUACUCUGCACGUAUAUGCCGGGUGCAGCUGGCUCUGUCCUUGAUCAGGCCUGUAGCCGGACAGCGCUGUCAUUCACCAUUGCCCAAAUUAUCUCUGUAUUGACUGCACAAGCCUCUGUGACAGCAGUGUAAUGGCUAAUUACCCAGGAUGCUUUGGGUACUUUCAAACCCCAGACUCUGCAAAGGAAACGGAGCGAGCGAGAGAGUGUGUGUUUCUCAGAGGCAGGAGAUAAAUCUUACAUGUUAGGACAGAGAACAGGAUCAAGAGAAAAGCAGACAGCAUCAGCAGCUUCAACAAUCUCUGCAGUGAUGACACUGAACUAAACAUUCACUGCAUUUACUACAUUGUUUUAAGAGUCUACUUCUGUCCGCCGGAGGUUGCAUUUCGGUCGUGGACGCAUAUUUUGAGAGCCUUCCAGACUGAAUGAAUGAAAUACAUGAUUUUCCACCAAGGUUUCACGAGCAUGAAAAAUAAACUCUCCGUUGGUCACGAAGCGUUUGGAGCAGUGUGUUAGAUGCGCAGGUCAGAUGAGUGUCCGAAACAGAGGCUCUUAAGCAGUAAAAGAGCUGCGAUGGAGGGAUGGGAAAAGGCACACGGCGAGAGGAGGAGGAAGAAGGUGAGGGAAUAGAGGGAACUAAAUCCCACUCUGACUGUUAGGGAAGAUGAUGAGAUCCCGAGAGGACGGACAGAGCGCAGAGAGGGAGGAAAAGAGAGAGAAAGA